UUUUUUCAAAGAUUUGCUUAAAAUCUUACGUUUGCUAGUGGUCAUUUUCAAACAACACACGUGACUAAACCUGAUUGGUUGUCGUCAUAGUAACACGUCACGGUGCUAUUUGAAAGCUGUUGUUGUUCAGUUCAGUUCACGAGAUGCAUGCGGUUGCUUGCAUUAAACGUAUAAACUGUAAAAUUAUAUGGCGACUCUGCAUUAAACGUAUUUAUUUAAUUCAUCAGCGAUCAUGUUUCACCAGAGAACUAAGAUAAAACAACUCGAUUUAAAAUGUGAGCAGUUUUAGUGGAUCUGACGUUGAGGGAAAAAGUAUUUCGCUUUUUGUUUGGAGAUGAACGAGACAACACAAGGCACAGCGACAUAAAUAUGACCAACCAGAGCCAAGUAGACAGGAACAAAUGAAGAUACAACCCAUAGAAAUACUUAUUCUUGGUGAUCAACUGCUAUUGACAGUUUUGAAUCGAGACAAAUGUGGAGUGAUUCGGAAGAAAAACUUUGCAACACAUCCAUUCCAGGUGGCUAAUUUCUGUCCUUUUGAGUUAUUCAUGUAAAAACCUGUUUUUUUAUUGUAAAGCUGUAAGGGACUUGGCCUAGCCAUCCUUGCAUAUACCAUUUGGCAGGGCUCCAGACUAACUUUUUUUUACUAGGAGCACAGUAGCCCCCAACUGAAAAUUUUAGGGGCGCAACCAGAAAAUUUAGGGGCACACACAGUAAAUCAACAUGCUAACCAAAUAUUCACAUGUCUACUAAUUUCCACGGUAUUACUAAUAAAUACUUUAAUUAUAGAUUCAGAAAGUACAAUGUGCUGUUUCAAAUUCAGUGUCAUAUCACAAAAAAAAGAUCAGAUUUGCUGGUCGCACAUGUGCGACUGGAUGUAAAAUUCAGUGGCACACUCUCAAAUUUAGGUGGCAAAAUGCCACCAUUUGAUGGCAGUCUGGAGCCCUGUUUGGCAUCAUUUUUGAUUUCCUUAAAUCUCCUUAAACAGAGGUGAACCUUAAGUUUGCAAGACCACAAUAGACAAACAAUGGAAAAUGAUCUAGGUUCAAAUAAAACACAAUUAUCAAUGUAAAACAUAUCCUGUAAUACACACAGGUUGGUUUAUAUCAUGAGCCUGUUCUAAUCCUAUCUUCAUUCCCACUUGUAGAGUGCUCUGACAGAUAAAACUGACACGCUU